UCCAAUCAGCUUCUUCCUUUCUCUCGUGUCCUGUGCACCUGUUCAAGUCAACUGUACGCAGUGAGAGCUCCGUGCAUUGGGGUGCCCGCAAUUGUUUAGUUCUUGUCGGAUCCCCAAUACAUCGCAUAAUAUCUCCUUGUGCUUUUAUACUGUGUUUUGAUUUCACCUUCUUCUCAUCAGCCCAGUCCCUCCAGCCACUUGUCUACUCCAGGGAUGACAAAUGCCUGAUGUCCAUACGGGUCUGACUUACGCGACAAAAGACUCCCCACAUAUCAGUCACAUUUGGAGACUCUGGAUGGACGGAUCCACCUGACUCUGACUAAACCACAAUUUGUGAUUUUUGUACCUUGGACUGUACCAUAUCUGAAUAAAUAUGUCACCUCCUAAAUCAUCCAUAUAGUGUACACCCAGCAACAUUUUCUGCACCUCUUUCUGGGAUUUGUAGUUUUAU